rnacentral:rRNA from 1 species
AACGUAGGAGACAAACGUUAUCCGGAGUUAUUGGGCGUAAAGCGCGCGCAGGUGGUGCGGUAAGUCUGUCGUGAAAUCUCCCGGCUCAACUGGGAGGGUGCGGUGGAGACUGCCGGACUGGAGGCACUCAGAGGCCGGUGGAAUUCCCGGUGUAGUGGUGAAAUGCGUAGAGAUCGGGAGGAACACCAGUGGCGAAGGCGGCCGGCUGGGGGUGACCUGACGCUGAGGCGCGAAAGCGUGGGGAGCGAACCGG